rnacentral:lncRNA from 1 species
GCUGCGGUUCCUUUCUGUGUGUGGGAGCUUUGUUCUUUUGCUCUUCACCAUAAAUCUUGCUGCUGCUCACUCUUUGGGUCUGCACCACAUUUAAGAGCUGUAACACUCACCGUGAAGGUCUGCAGCUUCAUUGUUGAAGUCAGUGAGACUACGAACCCACUGGAAGGAACCAACUCCAGACACAACAGUGCACUGGGGGACACAACAGGCUUGUUUUGUUCCACAUGGACCGUAGCUGACAGAUGAAGAAAGGGGUAAGGAAUCCGUCAAUACAAAAGUGAGUUUCCUGUGUUAUCUCUGAUUGAGGCAGGGAUCUCAGAUGUCCAUUUAUCAGAGGCUUUGGGUAUCAAAGCUUGGGGGUGUUCCAAAAUAGGUUAACAAAUUAGGGUGCCUUUUAUAUAUUUAUAUUAUUUUUUAUUUAAACAAAUUUUAAAGUUUUAUUUAGGUAAGAACAUUUAACAUGAGAUUUACCC